UACGUAGGGUGCAAGCGUUAAUCGGAAUUACUGGGCGUAAAGCGUGCGCAGGCGGUUAUGUAAGACAGGUGUGAAAUCCCCGGGCUUAACCUGGGAACUGCGUCCGAUACUGGUUGGCUUGAAUCCGGGAGAGGGAUGUGGAAUUCCAGGUGUAGCGGUGAAAUGCGUAGAUAUCUGGAGGAACACCGGUGGCGAAGGCGACAUCCUGGACCGGUAUUGACGCUGAGGAGCGAAAGCGUGGGGAGCGAACAGG
rnacentral:rRNA from 1 species